GAAAAAAUCCAAAAAAAAGCAGUAGCCAACAUUGCCUUAUCUUAUCCACAAGCUCGUCAUUGCUCUACCUCCAUUGUUCCUCCUCCUGCAACCUCAUGCCACCACCACCUGACCAUCGCAAAUGUCCCAACCGCACCAGCGAAUCCGUUCCUCUCGAUCUUCUCCUCGUCCUUCUGCAUCGACCCGAUGCCACCUCAUCCUCCUCCACGCCUACCUCCUGCUGCUCCUCCUCUCGCCCUGCUCGAGCGCUGCUUGCACGCUCAUGUAGCUGGCCGCCUCACACGGAACCGUGCCGCC
rnacentral:lncRNA from 1 species